rnacentral:rRNA from 1 species
CCUACGGGUGGCAGCAGUGAGGAAUAUUGGUCAAUGGCCGGAAGGCUGAACCAGCCAAGCCGCGUGAGGGAGGAAGGCGCAGAGCGUCGCAGACCUCUUUUGCCGGGGGACAAAAGGCCGGACUCGUCCGGUCCUGAGGGUACCCGGAGAAAAAGCAUCGGCUAACUCCGUGCCAGCAGCCGCGGUAAUACGGAGGAUGCGAGCGUUAUCCGGAUUUAUUGGGUUUAAAGGGUGCGUAGGCGGUAUUUUAAGUUAGUGGUAAAACGUCGGGGCUUCACCUUGAAUGGCCAUUAAAACUGGAGUACUAGAGUACAGACGAGGUAGGCGGAAUAAGUUAAGUAGCGGUGAAAUGCUUAGAUAUAACUUAGAACCCCGAUAGCGAAGGCAGCUUACCAGACUGUUACUGACGCUGAAGCACGAGAGCGUGGGUAGCGAACAGGAUUAGAUACCCCUGUAGUC